GUAGCCGUCAUUUCAACCCUCAAGCUCAGCUUGGUAUUGGGUGCCAUCUGGCAUGGUGCACCUUAAAAUCAGUGGCGGUGCCAUCUGGCUUCAAGCAUAGUAAAACUCUUGCUUUGGAGAUUUGGAUAUGUACUUGCCAUCAACCACUAAUUUAACAAAAGGUUGACCUCGGAUCAGGUAGGGAUACCCGCUGAACUUAA
rnacentral:misc_RNA from 1 species